GUGCUCACUUUGGCAGCACAUAUACUGAAAUUGGAACGAUACAGAGAAGAUCAGCGUGGCCCGUGCUCAAGGAUAAUACGCAAAUUCAUGAAGUAUUCCAUAUUUAA
rnacentral:snRNA from 1 species